rnacentral:ncRNA from 1 species
UUUAACACGUUGAAGAGGAUCAGUAAUUAAAGGCGAUCAUCUACAGAGAGCUGCUAGGAGCUGAGAGGCAGCGAUGAUCCUUUAAUGAAGCUCACCUCGGAGUGCGACUUCGAACAAUCGGGCACAGCCUGCUUUAGUAGAUGUUGCCGGGUGGUUUUUCACUACACCCGUUAUCAAAAUGAGACGAUUUGAUCGUCCAUGAGGUAGCAUUUGUAAAAAUGCUACGAAUGAGGGUGGUACCGUGAAAAGAGAAAUCUUUUUGCCCCUUUG